rnacentral:tRNA from 1 species
GCAGUUGUGGCGGAACUGGCAUACGCGCUAGACUAAGGAUCUAGUGGUCCCAGACCUUGGGGGUUCGAGUCCCCCCAACUGCA